CUCUAUCCACCUCUGCUACCGUUUUCUUUCUCUCUAACUCUUUGCCUUCAACCACCAGUCACCAGCCAUUUUCGCAGCCUGCUUCAGCAACAUCACCUUCUACUCUGAACCCAUUACCCUCGUCCCUCUAAACCUCCACUGUCGCCCCAUCUUUGUUGCCCCCUCCUUUUCUACAACCACCAACAGGCCACCUCAAUCUCUCUCUAAUCUGCUAUCAAUUGUCUCCACUGCAACCUCUCCCGGCUGUCCACCAUUUCAACCACUCUUCACGUACAAUCGAACCACAACCAGGCACCCACUCUCUUUUCUUGUCACCUGCCUGUAACCUUCAUCUCCGCCCCACUACAGCAGCAGUUUCCGCCACCUCACAGUGACCUCGGCCAUCUUCACCACUAUUUCUGCCCCUCUCUCUUCUUCGCCCCUGUCACCUUAUCCACUCUGUUGCGUCCACCUUCCCCUCCGCUCUGCUGCAACCGACUUCCAACCCGUUGCGACCAGCGGCAGCUCUCACCUCGUCCCCUCUUUGCUCUCUGCUGUCUUCACCUCCAUCCUCAACUAUUUUCGCCUCUCUCAACCAGACACCUUCACCACCCCUCACGAUCCUCUGCAACUCCGUCACUCCCCUCGUUGCGUUUUCU
rnacentral:lncRNA from 1 species